AUUGAACGCUGGCGGCAGGCCUAACACAUGCAAGUCGAGCGGAUGAAGGGAGCUGCUCCUGGAUUCAGCGGCGGACGGGUGAGUAAUGCCUAGGAAUCUGCCUGGUAGUGGGGGAUAACGUCCGGAAACGGGCGCUAAUACCGCAUACGUCCUGAGGGAGAAAGUGGGGGAUCUUCGGACCUCACGCUAUCAGAUGAGCCUAGGUCGGAUUAGCUAGUUGGUGGGGUAAAGGCCUACCAAGGCGACGAUCCGUAACUGGUCUGAGAGGAUGAUCAGUCACACUGGAACUGAGACACGGUCCAGACUCCUACGGGAGGCAGCAGUGGGGAAUAUUGGACAAUGGGCGAAAGCCUGAUCCAGCCAUGCCGCGUGUGUGAAGAAGGUCUUCGGAUUGUAAAGCACUUUAAGUUGGGAGGAAGGGCAGUAAGUUAAUACCUUGCUGUUUUGACGUUACCAACAGAAUAAGCACCGGCUAACUUCGUG
rnacentral:rRNA from 1 species